rnacentral:rRNA from 1 species
UACAGGGGGUGCAAACGUUGCUCGGAAUUAUUGGGCGUAAAGAGCUCGUAGGCGGUCUGUCGCGUCUGCCGUGAAAACCCGAGGCUUAACCUCGUGGCUUGCGGUGGAUACGGGCAGACUAGAGGUAGGCAAGGGAGAAUGGAAUUCCCGGUGUAGCGGUGAAAUGCGCAGAUAUCGGGAGGAACACCGGUGGCGAAGGCGGUUCUCUGGGCCUUACCUGACGCUGAGGAGCGAAAGCGUGGGGAGCGAACAGG